AGUGCUCGCGAAGAGAACCGGAACACAGGUGCUGCAUGGCUGUCGUCAGCUCGUGUCGUGAGGAUGUUGGGUUAAGUCCCGCAGCGAGCGCAACCCUUGUCAUUAGUUGCCAUCAUUUGGUUGGGGCACUCUAAUGAGACUGCCGGUGACAAACCGGAGGAAGGUGGGGAUGACGUCAAGUCCUCAUGGCCCUUAUGGGUAGGGCUUCACACGUCAUACAAUGGUCGGUACAGAGGGUUGCCAACCCGCGAGGGGGGAGCCCAAUCCCACAAAGCCGGUCGUAGUCCGGAUCGCAGUCUGCAACUCGACUGCGUGAAGUCGGAAUCGCUAGUAAUCGCGGAUCAGCAUGUCGCGGUGAAUACGUUCCCGGGUCUU
rnacentral:rRNA from 1 species